UGAGGAAUUUUUCGCAAUGGGCGAAAGCCUGACGGAGCAAUAUUGCGUGAAGGAAUAAGGUCUAUGGAUUGUAAACUUCUUUUUUUAUAGAGGAAAUUUUGACGUGUAUAUAAAGAAUAAGCAUCGGCUAACUCUGUGCCAGCAGCCGCGGUAAGACAGAGGAUGCAAGUGUUAUCCGGAAUUAUUGGGCGUAAAGCGUUUGUAGAUUGUUUUAUUGGUCAAAUGUUAAAUUUUAAAACUCAAUUUUAAACUCGCAUUUGAAACGUUAAAACUAAAAUUUUGUAGGGGUAAAGGGAAUUUCCAGUGGAGCGGUGAAAUGCGUAGAUAUUGGAAGGAACAUCGAUAGCGAAGGCACUUUACUGGUUUUAAUUAAUAUUGAGAGACGAAAGCUAGGGGAGCAAAUGGG
rnacentral:rRNA from 1 species